rnacentral:rRNA from 1 species
UGGGGAAUCUUGGACAAUGGGGGCAACCCUGAUCCAGCCAUGCCGCGUGAGUGAUGAAGGCCUUAGGGUCGUAAAGCUCUUUCGCCUGUGAAGAUAAUGACGGUAGCAGGUAAAGAAACCCCGGCUAACUCCGUGCCAGCAGCCGCGGUAAUACGGAGGGGGUUAGCGUUGUUCGGAAUUACUGGGCGUAAAGCGCACGUAGGCGGACCAGAAAGUUGGGGGUGAAAUCCCGGGGGCUCAACCCCGGAACUGCCUCCAAAACUAUUGGUCUAGAGUUCGAGAGAGGUGAGUGGAAUUCCAAGUGUAGAGGUGAAAUUCGUAGAUAUUUGGAGGAACACCAGUGGCGAAGGCGGCUCACUGGCUCGAUACUGACGCUGAGGUGCGAAAGUGUGGGGAGCAAACAGGAUUAGAUACCCUGGGUAGUCCACACCGUAAAACGAUGAAUGCCAGUCGUCGGGUAGCAUGCUAUUCGGUGACACACCUAACGGAUUAAGCAUUCCGCCU